rnacentral:rRNA from 1 species
UACAGAGGGUGCGAGCGUUGUCCGGAAUUAUUGGGCGUAAAGAGCUCGUAGGCGGUCUGUCGCGUCUGCUGUGAAAACUCAGGGCUUAACCCUGAGCUUGCAGUGGGUACGGGCAGACUAGAGUGCGGUAGGGGAGACUGGAAUUCCUGGUGUAGCGGUGAAAUGCGCAGAUAUCAGGAGGAACACCGGUGGCGAAGGCGGGUCUCUGGGCCGUAACUGACGCUGAGGAGCGAAAGCAUGGGGAGCGGACAGG